rnacentral:rRNA from 1 species
CGGACGGGUGAGUAAUGCCUAGGAAUCUGCCUGGUAGUGGGGGAUAACGUUCGGAAACGGACGCUAAUACCGCAUACGUCCUACGGGAGAAAGCAGGGGACCUUCGGGCCUUGCGCUAUCAGAUGAGCCUAGGUCGGAUUAGCUAGUUGGUGAGGUAAUGGCUCACCAAGGCGACGAUCCGUAACUGGUCUGAGAGGAUGAUCAGUCACACUGGAACUGAGACACGGUCCAGACUCCUACGGGAGGCAGCAGUGGGGAAUAUUGGACAAUGGGCGAAAGCCUGAUCCAGCCAUGCCGCGUGUGUGAAGAAGGUCUUCGGAUUGUAAAGCACUUUAAGUUGGGAGGAAGAGCAGUUACCUAAUACGUGAUUGUUUUGACGUUACCGACAGAAUAAGCACCGGCUAACUCUGUGCCAGCAGCCGCGGUAAUACAGAGGGUGCAAGCGUUAAUCGGAAUUACUGGGCGUAAAGCGCGCGUAGGUGGUUAGUUAAGUUGGAUGUGAAAUCCCCGGGCUCAACCUGGGAACUGCAUUCAAAACUGACUGACUAGAGUAUGGUAGAGGGUGGUGGAAUUUCCUGUGUAGCGGUGAAAUGCGUAGAUAUAGGAAGGAACACCAGUGGCGAAGGCGACCACCUGGACUGAUACUGACACUGAGGUGCGAAAGCGUGGGGAGCAAACAGGAUUAGAUACCCUGGUAGUCCACGCCGUAAACGAUGUCAACUAGCCGUUGGGAGCCUUGAGCUCUUAGUGGCGCAGCUAACGCAUUAAGUUGACCGCCUGGGGAGUACGGCCGCAAGGUUAAAACUCAAAUGAAUUGACGGGGGCCCGCACAAGCGGUGGAGCAUAUGGUUUAAUUCGAAGCAACGCGAAGAACCUUACCAGGCCUUGACAUCCAAUGAACU